rnacentral:rRNA from 1 species
CCUACGGGGGGCUGCAGUGGGGAAUAUUGGACAAUGGGGGCAACCCUGAUCCAGCCAUGCCGCGUGUGUGAAGAAGGCCCUCGGGUUGUAAAGCACUUUCAGUGAGGAAGAACGCCUGGUGGUUAAUACCCAUCAGGAAAGACAUCACUCACAGAAGAAGCACCGGCUAACUCCGUGCCAGCAGCCGCGGUAAUACGGAGGGUGCGAGCGUUAAUCGGAAUUACUGGGCGUAAAGCGCGCGUAGGUGGCUUGAUAAGCCGGUUGUGAAAGCCCCGGGCUCAACCUGGGAACGGCAUCCGGAACUGUCAGGCUAGAGUGCAGGAGAGGAAGGUAGAAUUCCCGGUGUAGCGGUGAAAUGCGUAGAGCUCGGGAGGAAUACCAGUGGCGAAGGCGGCCUUCUGGACUGACACUGACACUGAGGUGCGAAAGCGUGGGUAGCAAACAGGAUUAGAUACCCUUGUAGUC